UACGUAGGUGGCGAGCGUUGUCCGGAUUUAUUGGGCGUAAAGCGCGCGCAGGUGGUGCGGUAAGUCUGCCGUGAAAUCUCCCGGCUCAACUGGGAGGGGGCGGUGGAGACUGCCGGACUGGAGGGACUCAGAGGCCGGUGGAAUUCCCGGUGUAGUGGUGAAAUGCGUAGAGAUCGGGAGGAACACCAGUGGCGAAGGCGGCCGGCUGGGGGUACCCUGACGCUGAGGCGCGAAAGCGUGGGGAGCGAACCGG
rnacentral:rRNA from 1 species